UACGUAGGGUGCAAGCGUUGUCCGGAAUUAUUGGGCGUAAAGAGCUCGUAGGCGGUUUGUCGCGUCUGCUGUGAAAACUCGGGGCUUAACCCCGGGCCUGCAGUGGGUACGGGCAGACUAGAGUGCGGUAGGGGAGACUGGAAUUCCUGGUGUAGCGGUGAAAUGCGUAGAUAUUGGGAGGAACACCAGUGGCGAAGGCGGCUCACUGGACCGGUACUGACGCUGAGGCGCGAAAGCGUGGGGAGCAAACGGG
rnacentral:rRNA from 1 species